rnacentral:rRNA from 1 species
GACAGAGGGUGCAAACGUUUGUUCGGAAUUACUGGGCGUAAAGCGCGUGUAGGCGGCAAUACAAGUCGGAUGUGAAAUCCCACGGCUCAACCGUGGAACUGCUGGGUAUACUGGAUGUCUUGAGCCAGCUAGGGGCUACCGGAACAAAUGGUGGAGCGGUGAAAUGCGUAGAUAUCAUUUGGAACGCCAAUGGUGAAAACAGGUAGCUGGGGCUGUGCUGACGCUGAGACACGAAAGCCAGGGGAGCGAACGGG